rnacentral:rRNA from 1 species
GUGGAUUAGAUACCCUGGUAGUCCACGCUGUAAACGAUGACAACUAGAUGUUGGUAGGGGAACCUAUCGGUAUCGAAGCUAACGCGAUAAGUUGUCCGCCUGGGAAGUACGGCCGCAAGGUUGAAACUCAAAGGAAUUGACGGGGGCCCGCACAAGCGGUGGAGCAUGUGGUUUAAUUCGAUGCAACGCGAAGAACCUUACCUACCCUUGACAUCCAGAGAAUCCUGAUGAGAGUUGGGAGUGCCGAAAGGAGCUCUGAGACAGGUGCUGCACGGCCGUCGUCAGCU